GGCCCGGGAGGUGGGGCCGGUUAGGGCGAGGGUCCCCGGGAUCGUAGUGUCAGGCCUUGGGCCAACGUAGGCACUCGCAGUUCCUCCGCCUUCAGGAAGGUCUUUUUGGCAGGGGCCUUACGGGUGCGCGCUUCGGUCCUGGAGGCGUUAUCCUAGCCUCCUCUCCAUCAGCGCCACCCGUCUGGGGCCCGAUAGGAGGGAGCUUUCUGUCUGUCCCCCAGCCUUUGGACUGUCACCAAACAAGCCAUCCGUUCACCAAAUACUUAUUAAGCGCCUACCAUGUGUCUGGCAAGGGAGGUGUAACAGUGAGAAAAACUAGGUGUGGUCCAGGCCCUCCAGGGGCUCAGGGGCUCGUGGAAGAAGUGGACAUUGAAGUACUUACCACACAAAUGAGCAUGAAAGUACAAUAGCAAUAUCUGCCACGAAGGCGAGCAGACAGAGCUAGCAGGGCUUCCAGGAGGAGUUUUGAUCUUGCAGGGACAGGAAGGAGGAGUUAGCUCCUGGGGGGCGGGAUUGGGGGUGGUGGUGAUAUAGACGUGGGGACAGAGUGGAAAACAACAAAAAUAUAAUUAUUUUAGUUCAAAGUUAUUGUGUCUUGAGUUGAAAGGCAGGGCAGUUAGCGACACGGUUCAGAUUUCAGUACUGCCCCUGAAAUCUGAAUUGUGUUCAAAGUCUAAAACGUUUACCUUAGCAAAUCCCUCAUAAAACUCCAUUUGGAAGAGUCCCGAGAGCUAAUUUGUUAAGUAUACUUGCAGAAGGUAGAUGAGGAGACAGAUUAAAUCUUAUUACCUCUUUCAGAUGAGAGGCACUUGAGCCCUGCUCAGCCGUGAGAAUAAGAGGGGGAAUUAAUUCUAAUUGAAUACACUUGUUCUCUCACAGCUGUUGUUCCCCACCAGAACCAAAUGAGCGCAAGAUCUGACAAAGAAAAAAAAAGGUUCAUCUUUUAUUCCGCCAAACACUUUCAUCUAAAUCAAGAGGGUGGGAUGUGGUUAUUGCUGUGUUUUUAGACAGAAUCAACAGUUUCUGGGUCUGAGAUAUUGCAUACACCCUCUCAGUCCCUGUAUCCUCAGAUGGAGUCACCUGAGAAUCCACAGCAAGUCCUAACCGGGGAUGGGUCUGGGUGGUUAAGGAAGGUUGGCCUCAGAACUGGGCCAGGGGCACUGCUUUGCUUUUGCUGUUUUGAUCAGCUCUCUGCCCGCAGGAGACAAGGAAAACCAAUGGGAACAGGUCUAGCUGGAGUACAGUGAUGCAGUCAUAGCCCACUGCAGCCUCAAAAUUCCUGGGCUCAAGCAAUCCACCCACAUCAGCUUCCCAAGUAGUUGGGACUACAGGCCCACACUACUAUACCCAGACCAACAGAUAUUCUAGCAUAUAAGAAAUGUGAUGCUCUCUGUACAUUGAAGAGUUGGUCUAAUAUUUGGCCUGGUGGAUACAGAAAUUGCCUGUCUGCUCCGCUCUGGUUGAAGAAACCAGUCCGACUGUCUCUGAGGCUAUGGAGCAGUCCAUCAAGAAUGAAAGCCCUCGGCUGGCACGUUGGCUCACACCUGUAAUACCAGCGCUUUGGGAGGCUGAGGCAGGUGGAUCACUUGAAGUCACGAAUUCGACACCAGCAUGGCCAACAUGGUGAAACCCUCUCUCUACAGAAAAUAGAAAAAUUAGCUGGGCCUAGUGACGUGUGCCUGUAAUCCCAGCUACUCAGGAGGCUGAGGCAGGAGAAUCACUUGAUCCUGGGAGGCAGAGCUUGCAGUGGGGAGCUGAGAUCACACCACUGCCUUCCAGCCUGGGCGACAGAGUGAGACUCUCUCAAAAAAAAAAAAAAAAAAAAAAAAAAGAAAGUCCUCAUGAUGGCCUCAAGCACAUUGGUCCCUGAAGAGAGUCAAGGAAGGCCCACUUUACUCUGCACUGCAAAGCAGGCAGGUGGACAGGAUGAGAAGUGGAUUCAGUGAGAGGCAUUGACUCAAAGGAUUUUCUGCCUAAUGGUCGGUUCAGCAGAAGAUUAAACUGAGCACAGCAUCCUGUUCCCUCAAACUAUCUGGUUGGAUCUCUCUCUCUCUGCCACCCAGGCCAGAGCGCAGUUGAUGCAGGUCAGGGGAGCCCCCCAGUGGAGCAUAGUGUGUCCAGAACUGGUGGGUUGUUGGUCUCACUGACUUCAAGAAUGAAGCCACGGACCCUCGGGGUGAGCGUCACAGUUCUUAAAGGCGGUGCGUCCGG
rnacentral:lncRNA from 1 species